rnacentral:antisense_RNA from 1 species
CUUCACCGAGCCGAGCAGCAGGGGCCGGUCGGCCGGUCGCUGCUUGCCGUACGUGGCGAUGAGGGCCUGGGCCUC